rnacentral:lncRNA from 1 species
AAAAACUGAAACAUGCCUGGGGUGCAGGAGAGAACAAGAAAGACUAUUUAGCCAAGUAGGCUAAUAGUGGUGGGGAGGAAGGGGGUUGAUUUUCACAUCUGAGAACUGUUGAGCCUGCAAAUAUUACUGAAAUCACAUCUGGGAACAAAGCUCUGCUUUAAGUAAGUUCACCCAUGAGUGUUGCUAAGCAAUGGAGAAAAGAAGAGUGACAGGGAGAGUGCCUGACUUUAGAAUUAGGAGGAUAGAGAGAAGAUAAAAAAGUAAGGUUUCUACACAGCCUUAUUUAUAUGAACUUUCAAGUUCUUUAUUUCUAUUGCUUGUCUUCCAAACUAUUUGUACCAUGAUUAAUCCUAUCUGGUUCAGUAUCUAUACCAAUGCACACCCAGCACAGAGAGGUGCUGCAUCCUGGAGCACUGGCACAAGCACUUGGGCACCAGAACUGCCAACAUCUGUCUCUGGAUUAAACAGGAAGGAGAGAAGAAAUCUUCCCUAUCAGCUGCAGCAGGGGUUGCUGCAGGAAGAUGAUAAUUCCCUCCUGCUACUCCGCUGACAACCACCGAGCUGCACAGGAGGAGGAAGGCAUUUUAAUCAUGGAAUUGAAAAACACAGCAGUUUCUAAAGCUUCACCUCACCUUGGUUGAUUUACAUUAAUUUAGGAUCAACUGGCUUUCGGUGGAUUUAUGUUAUAUAUGGAAGGUAACAGAAGGAAAAAUUUGGCGUCAUUUCUAGUUUGGCUGUCCAUUAGAGAAUGCGUGUCUAUGUAUAUAAACAGUUUUGGAGAAUCUCAGAUAAGCAUAAUGAAUCCCUUAAAAGCACAGUUCAAACUUGAGGGCUCCCUAAUUCCAUAGUAAGUGUCUUAAAAAUGCCAGACUUUAAAAUAUACAGAUUAAAUUAAAAAGAUUAAAAAAAAAAAAAACCUUAACAAUUAGCAAGUCAGGGUCCAAUCCAGUGUCCACUGAAGCCAUCAGAAAACCUGUGACAAAGGCCUAGAAGAUUUGACUCUGGCUCUUUCAUCAGAUUAUCAUUAUAACAAAGGCACC